GUAAUUUCGCCAAGCAGACCUGAACGUACAGCUUCUAAUGGUUUUCACCUCGACAAGCUUGGAGCAGUUCUUUGGUGUUUCAGCUUGAGGCUAAUAUAUUAAAGGUCCAUUGAUCUGAAAGGAUGUUGUCAGAGCUACAAUUUGUAACUUAAAGCGUGU